UACGGGGGGGAGCAAGCGUUGUUCGGAUUUACUGGGCGUAAAGGGCUCGUAGGCGGCCAACUAAGUCAGACGUGAAAUCCCUCGGCUUAACCGGGGAACUGCGUCUGAUACUGGAUGGCUUGAGGUUGGGAGAGGGAUGCGGAAUUCCAGGUGUAGCGGUGAAAUGCGUAGAUAUCUGGAGGAACACCGGUGGCGAAGGCGGCGAUCCUGGACCGGUAUUGACGCUGAGGCGCGAAAGCCAGGGGAGCAAACGGGG
rnacentral:rRNA from 1 species